UUAUACGGUAUAUGGUAAUACUAUAGCACGUUAUACGUUAUAUGAUAAUACUAUAUAACGUUAUACGUUAUUACGUAAUAGUAUUUAUCGUUAUACGUUACAUGGUAAUACUAUAUAACGUUAUACGUUAUUACAUAAUAGUAUAUAUCGUUAUACGUUACAUGGUAAUACUAUAUAACGUUAUACGUUAUUACAUAAUAGUAUAUAUCGUUAUACGUUACUACGUAAUACUAUACAACGUUAUACGUUACUACGUAAUAGUAAAUAUCUUUAUACGCUAUAUGGUAAUACUAUAUAACGUUAUACAUUAUUACGUAAUAGCAUAUAACGUUAUACGUUA
rnacentral:misc_RNA from 1 species